ACCAAGUUAUGAUGAUCAAUUAUGAGAAUGCAAAAGGAUUGAUAGAUUAGUAAACAAGCAACAAAAAGAUGGGUGCUCAUGGUGGCCUCCAAAUAAAUACAUGGACAGGCUGCUAAAGAGGGUCAGGAUGAUGGAGAUGCAAGAGCCAAAGACAGCACAGACCAAACACCAGGCCAGAAUUCUGCAUGAGUCAGCUCCAGUGAGUGUCUCUAAGGUAGAUCCUAAUGCAGAUGGAUGGAAUGUUGAUCCGCCU